rnacentral:tRNA from 1 species
GGGGGUAUAACUCAGUGGUAGAGCAUUCGUCUGCAAAUCGAGAGAUCCCGGAUCAAACCUGGGUGCCCCUU